ACUCAAAUGAAUUGACGGGGGCUCACACAAGCGGUGGAGCAUGUGGAUCAAUUCGAAGCAACGCGAAGAACCUUACCUGGGUUUGACAUGCAUGGAUGCCCUCGACGAAAGUUGAGUAAGCUGCCUUUGGUGAAACAUGCACAGGUGCUGCAUGGCUGUCGUCAGCUCGUGCUGUGAAGUGUCGGGUUAAGUCCCUUAACGAGCGAAACCCUUAUCGCUAGUUGCCAGCGGGUCAUGCCGGGAACUCUAGUGAGACUGCCGGCGUCAAGCCGGAGGAAGGCGGGGACGACGUCAAGUCAUCAUGGCCUUUAUGCCCAGGGCGUCACACGUGCUACAAUGGGGUGGAACAGAGCGAUGCGAGACCGCAAGGUGGAGCAAAUCGCAGAAAACACCCCUCAGUUCGGAUUGAGGUCUGCAACCCGACCUCAUGAAGCUGGAAUCGCUAGUAAUCGCGUAUCAGCCACGACGCGGUGAAUAUGUUCCUGAGCCUUGUACACACCGCCCGU
rnacentral:rRNA from 1 species